UAUGACAAUGGUGAUGAUUCUACAGACCUGUAAUGAUUAUUAGCGGGGAUGAUCGCAUAAUCAAGAACAUCUAAGGGACUGAGUUGUC